GUGAGUGGAACAUCUGGAAGGCAGAGGGAGCCAGACAUAUUUGGAUCUGGGUGACUUCAGGUUUGGAUGCUGCUUCCAUUUCCCAAAGGUUCAGCCUUGCUUCAGGAUACCACCACUUGGAACUGACACUGGGAAAAGGGGCAGCAUUUUUCUACAGCUUUGCAAACACUGUCCUGCUGCUGCUAAAAUGCAAAUAAGGAACACAAGGAAAUACCUGACUGGUCUGAAACCACUCAGUCUGAAUCUGACAGCAGUGAUGCUGUCACAGAUCAGUUUGAAUUCCUUUCUGCACA